AGAUAUUGUGCUUAAUAUGUUUCUCUGAACUUGUGAUGUUUAUGACCUAAAUUUGACCUCCUUAAUGAUAAGUUAAAUCAUUUUCUAAGUGUUGAUUUCAGCAAGUUUAUAGGUUCCCUGAUCACAAUAAGUACAAAGUUUUUCACCAUCAAAAAAGGGGAAAAUGUUAGCCCAAGUUUCAAUUGAGUUUUGAACAUUGACAAAUAAACUGAUAGAAGGACCUUGUCCAUCUUGUACUACAUAGUCUGGAUCACCAGUGCACAUGCAGAGCACAUGAG
rnacentral:lncRNA from 1 species